rnacentral:misc_RNA from 1 species
UUUCCGUAGGUGAACCUGCGGAAGGAUCAUUCAUAAUAAGUGUUUUAUGGCACUUUUUUAAAUCCAUAUCCACCUUGUGUGCAAUGUCAGGGUUGAUUUUUCUAUCGAGAGGAUCAGCCCCAAACAUCAACUAUAUCUCAACUCUUUGUCUGAAAAAUAUUAUGAAUAAAACAAUUCAAAAUACAACUUUCAACAACGGAUCUCUUGGCUCUC